UGUGUGUGUGUGUGUGUGUGUGUGUGUGCCUGCGUGCAUGCACUCACACAAACACACAUACAUGCACACACU